GACGAACGCUGGCGGCGUGCCUAAUACAUGCAAGUAGAACGCUGAAGGAGGAGCUUGCUUCUCUGGAUGAGUUGCGAACGGGUGAGUAACGCGUAGGUAACCUGCCUGGUAGCGGGGGAUAACUAUUGGAAACGAUAGCUAAUACCGCAUAAGAGUAGAUGUCGCAUGACAUUUGCUUAAAAGGUGCAAUUGCAUCACUACCAGAUGGACCUGCGUUGUAUUAGCUAGUUGGUGAGGUAACGGCUCACCAAGGCAACGAUACAUAGCCGACCUGAGAGGGGGAUCGGCCACACUGGGAAUGAGACACGGCCCAGACUCCUACGGGAGGCAGCAGUAGGGAAUCUUCGGCAAUGGACGGAAGUCUGACCGAGCAACGCCGCGUGAGUGAAGAAGGUUUUCGGAUCGUAAAGCUCUGUUGUAAGAGAAGAACGAGUGUGAGAGUGGAAAGUUCACACUGUGACGGUAGCUUACCAGAAAGGGACGGCUAACUACGUG
rnacentral:rRNA from 1 species